rnacentral:misc_RNA from 1 species
GGACGUUCUCCUUCUUUAGUGUCUUUCAUGCAGUGUGUGUGUGUGUGUGCGUAUGCGCCAGUGGUGGACGCAUGCCAUUCACGUUGCCCUGUUGUUGUUGUUGCCCGUCACAAAUCCACUCUCGCUUCCGUUGCCCCACUCCUUUGUUGCCGCUGUCUUCCGCCCUCUACGCCCCUCUGUUAGCCGGUUGACUGUAUUGCGUUCUCGCUAUACCUGCGUUGUUUCGGCGCCUGCAAAAGGUGUUGGCGCCCCUAUCCCCUUCGCCUUCUCACUGCCCCCCUCUUCCUCUUUAUCUUGCUUCUUUCUUUUCGCACCUCCCUUCUCUGUACCGCAUGGUAUUUUUACUUUCGUCUUCGUCGUGAUUACCCAUCUCUGCCCAGCGCCGGACAGCAAACCCGAUCAGAGAGCCCCUUGCGAACGCUUGUGCGUGACUCAUGACGCUGCGCCAAGCGAGAGCCGCGUGUGCGUAAGUGCGUGCGUGUGUGCGCGCGUGUAUGGGGGCGCGACGUUCCAUGGAGGGGCGCUGAUGAGUUUUCAUCUACGUACAUACAAUGGCGAGGGCGUGCGUCCGUGUGUCAUGCCUAGCCUUUCCCUCUUUUCCGUCAUCAUCGCUUUCUUUUUUUUUAUUUGGGGUUAUGUUCAUCUCCGUUUCUCUCUGUGUGUCUGUGUGGGUUUAUGUAAAAGUUGAUGGUAUUUGGCUAUAGCCGGACCGCUCCUGCUCACUACAGUGGGACACACAAGACAGGACGACGACCACAAACGGUCCACUGUACUCGCACACCGAGACGCGUCUGUGUGAUGGCAGCAGGAGCAGUGAUGCUCCAAGGUAAGCACGCCUUUUCCUUUCCUGUGCCAAUCUCGCCGUGGGUCUGGUCCACGGCGAGAUGACGCCUUUGCAUCUCAGUCUCUUUCUUACUCUUCAAAUAACGAGCCCGCUCUAUGUAUUCCUACUCUCAUUGCCCAACACCACCUUCUCCACCUAUUCCCUGUGUGAAUCCUUACUCAACGACUGCAG